UACAGGAGGGGGCAAGCGUUGUUCGGAAUUACUGGGCGUAAAGGGCGCGUAGGCGGCCUGCUAAGUCGAACGUGAAAUCCCUGGGCUCAACCCAGGAACUGCGUCCGAUACUGGUUGGCUUGAAUCCGGGAGAGGGAUGCGGAAUUCCAGGUGUAGCGGUGAAAUGCGUAGAUAUCUGGAGGAACACCGGUGGCGAAGGCGGCGUUCUGGACUGUCUCUGACACUGAAGAACGAAAGCCAGGGGAGCAAACGGGG
rnacentral:rRNA from 1 species